rnacentral:misc_RNA from 1 species
GAUGAAGAACGUAGCGAAAUGCGAUAAGUAAUGUGAAUUGCAGAAUUCAGUGAAUCAUCGAAUAUUUGAACGCACAUUGCGCCCGCCAGUAUUCUGGCGGGCAUGCCUGUUCGAGCGUCAUUUCAACCCUCAAGAUCCCUUCGGGGGACUUGGUGUUGGGGACCGGCACAGGGGCCUGCCUGCUUGUCUUGCAGCGCCCUCGCCGCCCCCGAAAUGAAUUGGCGGCCUCGUCGCGGCCUCCCCUGCGUAGUAGCACAAACCUCGCAACGGGAACGUGACGGCGGCCACUGCCGUAAAACAACCCAAUUUUAUUAGAGUUGACCUCGAAUCAGGUAGGAAUACCCGCUGAACUUAAGCAUAUCAAUAAGCGGAGGA